GUCUGCCUCAGAGAGGAGGCUGGGUCUGAACAUUCCUCCCUCAUGCGCUAGUCUAUGCGCAGGGAGUUAGUUGGUUUACUGGAAGGGGGGAGCAUAACAAGAGCCUGCUGGAUGAGGCCAUUGGCCAGUUAGUCCAGCCUCCUCUUCUCACAGUGGCCAACCAGAUGACCCAAUGGGAAGCCCUAAAAGCAGGAUCUGAGUACAGCGGAACUCUCAUAGAAUCAUAGAAUUGCAGAGUCCAAGGGGACCCAAAGGAUCAUUUAGUUUCAGUCCCUGCCAGCAGAAAAGGUGGAAUAUAUAUAACAACAACAACCACCCCUGCAAUGAACUAGGGUAAUUUACUCCAGCCCUGCUCAGCUGUGAUUCCAAGCAACUGGCGUUCAGAGGCAGUCUGGUUGUGAAGACACAGUAUAGACACCCAGGUAAGUAGCCAUGGAUCACCUCUGUGAAUUGGCCACACUCCUCUUUUAAAGUCAUCCAAAUCCUUUGUUGUUGUUUAGUCGUUUAGUCGUGUCCGACUCUUCGUGACCCCCUGGACCAGAGCACGCCAGGCACUCCUGUCUUCCACUGCCUCCCGCAGUUUGGUCAGACUCAUGUUUGUAGCUUCGAGAACACUGUCCAACCAUCUCGUCCUCUGUCGUCCCCUUCUCCUUGUGCCCUCCAUCUUUCCCCACAUCAGGGUCUUUUCCAGGGAGUCUUCUCUUCUCAUGAGGUGGCCAAAGUAUUGGAGCCUCAGCUUCACGAUCUGUCCUUCCAGUGAGCACUCAGGCCUGAUUUCCUUAAGAAUGGAUACGUUUGAUCUUCUUGCAGUCCAUGGGACUCUCAAGAGUCUCCUCCAGCACCAUAAUUCAAAAGCAUCAAUUCUUUGGCGAUCAGCCUUCUUUAUGGUCCAGCUCUCACUUCCAUACAUCACUACUGGGAAAACCACGGACCUUUGUUGGCAAGGUGAUGUCUCUGCUUUUUAAGAUGCUGUCUAGGUUUGCCAUCGCCUUUCUCCCAAGGAGCAGGCGUCUUUUAAUUUCGUGACUCCAUAGACAAAGACAACAUCCAAAUCCUAAAACAUCCUAAAAAGUUCUAAACGUGUGUGUGGUUUUUUUAAAAAAAAUAAAUUGAUAUACUGUAAUAUCAUCAUUUUGGUCAUCCUCCUCUCCUCCUGCCUGGAGGGGUGUCUGGAGCGCAUGUGCAGAAACUACCCCACUGUGUAAAGGUAAAAAUUUGCAUUCCUUGCUCCACCCACUUUUGCCUCUGGCUCCACCCACCACUAGCAUGCGAUUCCUGGAAGCUUUCUUAGAAGAGAAUAUGGCUCUUGGCGUCACUCCCCUUGUAGACUCCCCUGGGGCACAAUCUGUGAUACUAGGAUCAAAGAACUGUAGAGUUGGAAGGAAUCCCAAGGGCCAUCUAGUCCAACCUCCUGCAAGGCAAGAAUCUCAGCCAAAGUAUCUAGGAUGGAUGGCCAUCUAACAUUGCCUCGAGUCCUACCCUCCAGAGCAGGAGAAAACAAGCAUGCUCCCUCUUCUAUGUGACAGCCCUUAAGGUAUUUGAAGAUGGAUAUCCCUUCUCCUCUCAAUCUUCUCUUUUCCAGGCUAAACAUACGCAGCUCCUUCAACCAUUCUUCAUAAGGCCUUGUUUCCAGACCCCCUUUACACGUGUUCCAGUUUGUCCAAUAUCCUUCUUAGGGCUUGCCCACACUUCCACUUGUCCUAUGCCUAGAAAGCAAGGGCCCAAGCGGUUUUCUGUUUGCCCUGCCAUUUCCCCAGGAAAACUGAUGGAUGCUUGUUCUGAUUCAAUGGUAAAGAGAGGGUUUCCCCAGUGGAAAGUGGUGGGACAAGUGGAAGUGUCAUCAAGCCUUAGAAUGGUGCUGUCCAGAAUUGGGCACAAUAUUCCAGGUGGGAUCUGACACUAGACUUCUGUUGAUGCAGCCUAGAAUAAAAAGGUAAAGGGACCCCUGACCAUUAGGUCCAGUCGUGGCUGACCCUGGGUUUGCGGCACUCAUCUCACUUUAUUGGCCAAGGGAGCCAGCAUACAGCUUCCAGGUCAUGUGGCCAGCAUGACUAAGCCGCUUCUGGCGAACCAGAGCAGCGCACGGAAACGCCGUUUACCUUCCCGCCAGAGCAGUACCUAUUUAUCUACCUACACUUUGACAUGCUUUUGAACUGCUAGGUUGGCAGGAGCAGGGACCGAGCAACGGGCGCUUACCCCGUCGCGGGGAUUCGAACCACCGACCUUCUGAUCGGCAAGUCCUAGGCUCUGUGGUUUAACCCACAGCACCACCCGCAUCCCUGCAGCCUAGAACAGCAUUUGCUUUUUUUGCUGCCGCACCGCACUUGACUCUUGUUAAGCUUGUGGUCCACUAAGACCCCUAAAUCAAGCCAGGUGUCCCUCAUCUUAUAUUUGUGCAGCUGGUUCUUCCUGCCUAAGUGCAGACCAAGGCAUUUGUCCAUAUUGAAAUUCAUUUUGUUAGUGAAGAAAUAAACACAGCCAAAGAUCCCGGGUUGCCCCCUCCAGCCCCACCCCGAGUAUUAAUGCAAGGUCCUGCCCAAAUGCACCAUCUCAGAUCCUGCAGCAGCUGCAAGCGUUGCUGCUACAGAUGCCUUUGCCUGGUGGGCUUCUCCCUCCCUCCCUCCCUCCCUCCUGCGGGUUUCCACUCAUGCUAUCAGAUUAAAGGGAGAUAUAUUUAAGCCUGAGUUCAGCAGAAGGGCUUAUUUAAAUAUAAACUCUGAGAAGUCGGCCAGCUCUCUGGCUCAAAUUGCAGGUGAUUUGACAAGUGGAAGUGGCUGACGGGGUCCGGAUAGAGAGGGAGAGAAGUGCCAAGGAGCAAUCCAAGUUCUGUGCUGGGGAAGACUGGAUCCUGCAACCACUUUCAAUUAAUGCAAAUAUUCAGGUUGCCUCUUAGUCUGCGCAGUUGUGCAGUCUUCACAGUUCUGCAUAAUUUUCUUCAUUUGUUCACUUUGGGCUGAGUUGUCAAGUGAGCGGCAAGAACCCAAGGCCAGCAGUUAAGGCAGCCAAGGUCCAGGGUGAGAGAAGACAGUCACCACCCAGGUGGCCUUCCUGAUGAGGCGAGUCAAUGGCCAGGCUGGGUGGGCAGAGUUAACUCCAUUGCAACACCUGGGAUCUCUUUGCUGCCCUGGGGAAGAGCUCUGACCUGGAAUGCUGGUACUUCACUACACAAGGUGACUGUGGUGAAGAACUGUGGAUGAUUUCUUCCAGCUCCUGUCCCCAUCCCUGUCCCAGUCCAAGACAUUUUGCUGCCUGAGCCAGAACCUCAAAUGCCCUCUCCCACCUAUGUAUGCUUAGGACAGCAUUGUUUUAAAGUCUUGCCUGCACCAUUCAGAUAUCUGUUCCUGUCUUCACCUAUCUCUACAGCUUAGGAGCGUAAGAUGGAUCUUGCUGGACCAAGCUGAACUGAGCCCAUCUAGUCCAUCAUCCAGUUGCCCACAGUUGCCAACCACAUGGCCCCAAUGGAAAGCACAUGAGCAGGACAUGGGAGGUGGUGGUGGUGGUGGUAGUAGUGGAAUAGUUUGGGAAGGUGAGCCCUGCCCCUGCCUUUUUCUUUUUUUCUUUUUGCUUCUGAGGUUUCAGCUGGAGUUGCCCGCCCACUUACCUCCAUGAGGACUGGAAACUUAAAACAGAGUGCAUUCCUUGUGUGCAGAACAGCCUGCGUGAUCCAUCUUUGGCACCCCCAGAUUAAAAGGAAGGAAAGAAGAGGUCAGAUGAUGGGAAGCAGCUUUCUCUGCACCAAAAAAGAGGGAUUUUUGGCCCUUUGUUUCUGCUCUCUGUCUAACCAGGAACUUGUGGAUUUCAUGCAAGGCUGGGUAACAGCUGCCUUUUGCAUUUUCAAAAAUGAGAAGCAGCCAUUGCUUCCAGAAUCCAGCCUGAUCCCUACAGCUCCAAACAGAGGCUGGAAUCAGUCUGCUUCAACACCCAGUCUAAUUCUUGCACUUAUUUGCUUCCUAUUUUUCCUUGUUUCCUCCUCCCCUCCCUCCUGAUUUGCAUAACAUCCCAGCCUGAAAAGGCUUUGGAGAACUCAAAAUCUCCACUUUCUGUUUUGUGACAUUUUGGCUGGUCCAAAAUGAAGGUGCUGCCCAGCGGUGGAUUUUGGAGUUUUCUUUUCAAUUUCUUUUUAUUUUCAGUUAUUUAUAUUAACAUUAUUUCCAUGCACUCCAAACAUUUUUCAUAUAUACAGUACUGAGAUUAUACAAAUCCCUCGGACUUCCCCCGCCCCCCCUCCGGUUUCCAUAUUUUACCCUCUUUUCUUGCAUAUAAUUAUAUUUAUCUAUUCUAUUUCAUCUCAUUAUUUACUACUUUAGUUUCAUUUUACUUCAUAAAUGCUAUAUCAAUCCGGUUAAUGUUUCUAAGUAACUACAGUACAGUGGUUUUUAAGGUAUUCUACAAAUUUUUCCCAUUCUUGAUUAAUUUUUUUGUCACCUUGGUGUCUGAUCCUCACGGUCAUCUUUGCCAUUUUGGCAUAGUCCAUCAGUUUGGUAAUCCACUCUUCUUUUUUUGGGACCUUCUCUUCCUUCCACACCUGGGCAAAUGUUGUCAUAUACACAAAGUCUUUUUAGGUCUCAUGGUAUUUCUUCUCCUGUUAAGCCUAGUAAAAAGGCUUCUGGGUUUUUUUAGUAAAUGUUAUCUUAAACAUUUUUUCAAUUCAUUAUAUAUCAUUUCCCAGAAGCCCUUUACUACCUUACAUGACCACCACAUAUGGUAAAAGGUACCCUCCCUAUCCUUACAUUUCCAGCAUAACUUAGAUGCAUUUUUGUACAUUUUUGUCAACUUUACUGGAGUCAAAUACCAACUGUACAUCACUUUCAUAUAGUUUUCCUUCAAUGCACAACAAGCCGUAAAUUUUAAAUCCUCUUUCCACAACCUCUCCCAUAAAUUGGAGUUUUCUUCAAGAUAGGGAAAUGUAUCUUGUGGCCUGGAGCUGGUAGCCCAAGGCAGCUCUUUGGCCCUGUUCCUCACUCCCUCUGGUGUUUCCAUCGCAGGCUGAUGUUGAUGUGAAUUAGGAAGGUGGAUCUGUAGGACCUCGGAAGGAGACCCAACUGGAUGAGACAGCUCCACGGGUGCUUCCAGUAGGGGGUUUGUUUUUACUGCAUCCACGCAAUAUCAUUGUCAUCCAAAUGCUAGACUGUUUUGCCCCCACUCCGCAAAAUAAUAAUCAUUCUUGGGGGUUCUAGUUAUUUCAUACAACCUAUUGCCAGUGACCCCUUUGCAGGAUGAAGCACUGGAAGCAUUCUGUGACCUGGGGAAGGCAAAUAUGAAGGUUUCAGUUUCUAUCAAUUACUCAUUUCUUCCUAUCUUCAGUUCAUUUCUCUGCAUUUCCAAAUCAGAUUGUGCUUAAAAAAAACCCCUCACAAAAUUAAUCAGUGAAUUUCUACACAUAUACACAAAUCUGUAUGUAAUUUUGCCAAAUGUACACAUUUUGGUCAAGUAUUUAUGUUGUUGUUGUUGUUGUUGUUGUUGUUGUUGCAUUUCUAUCUUGCCUUUUUUUCCAGGGAGCUCAAGACUGCAUGCAAUGGUUCCCCCCACUCCUCACUUAAUUCCCACAAUAACCCUGUGAGGUAGGUUGGGCUGAGAGGCAGCGACUGGUCCCCAGGGGUCACAGGUCUAGAGCUCCAUGGCCAGGUAGAGAUUUGAACCCUGGUCUCCCAGGUCCUUGGCCAUCCUGGCUUCAGUGGACUCUGCCUUAAUAGGAUUAAAAGCCAUAUACAGUGGUAAGGUAAAGGUAAAGGUACCCCUGCCCGUACGGGCCAGUCGUGUCCGACUCUGGGGUUGCGUGCUCAUCUUGCUUAAGAGGCCGGGAGCCAGCGCUGUCCGGAGACACUUCCGGGCCACGUGACGAAGCUGCUCUGGCGAGCCAGCACCAGCGCAGCACACGGAAACGCCGUUUACCUUCCUGCUAUAAAGCGGUACCUAUUUAUCUAGUUGCACUUAGGGGUGCUUUCGGACUGUUAGGUGGGCAGGAGCUGGGACCAAACAACGGGAGCUCACCCCGCCGCGGGGAUUCGAACCGCCGACCAUACGAUUGGCAAGUCCUAGGCACUGAGGUUUUACCCACAGCGCCACCCGCGUCCCGCUAUACAGUGGUACCUCAGGUUAAGUACUUAAUUCGUUCCAGAGGUCUGUUCUUAACCUGAAACUGUUCUUAACCUGAAGCACCACUUUAGCUAAUAGGGCCUCCCGCUGCUGCCGCACGAUUUCUGUUCUCAUCCUGAAGCAAAGUUCUUAACCCGAGGUAAUAUUUCUGGGUUAGCGGAGUCUGUAACCUGAAGCAUAUGUAACCUGAAGCGUAUGUAACCCAAGGUACCACUGUAUAUAAUAUAUUCUCUAAUAUAUGCACAUUACUUGGCCGGAGAACUGUUUUGCAAAAUUCAGAAAAGUGUGAAUUUCCAAAGACGGUUGUGUUUCGGUUUGCAUAUUGCUUAGGAAAGUGCAGAUGAGGUAGGUCUGCCUCUAAAUGCAAAUGGAAUCAGAUUUGUCCCCAGCAACGCAGUGCAAAAAAUGGAGAGCAAAAGCAAAGGCCCAGAACAGGCCCUUUUUCAUCAGAGCACUGGAACCAGAUAACCUUCCUCCUCCUCCUCACUCAGUCUCCCCCCCCCCCCCACAUGCCAGGCCUUCUUGCCAUGGCAAGACCCCCAUCACCCUCUCAUCCCUACCCCACCCCACCUCUCAGUUCAUCCUUCCUGAUCCAGUUGCUCCAAGGAGCUCAGCUUCGAAUCCUCUGCUGUGCCACUGCUAGUGUUUGAUGUUUUCACUAGACAUUUUGACGUGUCGUUUCACAACUGAGGAUACCAACAUCUGUCACUGCCGGAAAAAAGCAGAAACAAGUUUUGACAUUUUCAAUAUUUCAGUACAAAAAGUGUUUUCCUUUUCUUUCAUUGCUUUUUUUGGGUAUUUUUUGGGGGGUGGGGGUGGGAAUCAAAAUGUAAAUACAAUGUCAUUUUGAAAAGCUGCAAAGUGGGAGAGAGGGGAGAUUUGAACAGUUUUCAGCUUGGCAAUUGCAUCAAUAACAGAACCAAGUUGCAGGGGGGCACCAUGGACAGGAGAGACAGGUAUCUGUCCAUAUUGCAACAAUUCCACACGACUCACAUUCAUUUUUCUGCACCCCAGUUUAAUGUGCUAAUUCUGGCCUUUAAAGCCGUAAGAACAUGGGUAGGCAAACUAAGGCCCGGGGGCCGGAUCCAGCCCAAUCGCCUUCUUAAUCCAGCCCACGGACAGUCCAGGAAUCAGUGUGCUUUUACAUGAGUAGAAUGUGCCCUUUUAUUUAAAAUGCAUCUCUGGGUUAUUUGUGGGGCAUAGGAAUUCAUUCCUAUCCCCCCCCCAAUAUAGUCUGGCCCACCACAAGGUCUGAGGGACGGUGGACUGGUCCCCUGCUGAAAAAGUUUGCUGACCCCUGCAUAAGAACCUAAGAAGAGCCCUGCUGGAUCAGGCCAAAGGGGGCCCAUCCAGUCCAACAUCCCAUUCUCAUGGCAGCCAACCAGAUGCCUGGGGGAAACCUGCAAGCAAGAGCCACACCCCCCUUUUCCCAGUUUCCAGCAACUGGCAUUAAGAAGCAUUCCUGCCUCCAACUGUGGAGGCAGAGCAGAGUCAGUGUGGCAAGUAGCUGUUGACAGCCCUCUCUAUGAAUUUGUCCAAUCCUCUUUUGAAGCCAUCUAAGUGGGUGGCCUUUCCUGCUUCCAGUGAGAGCGAGUUCCAUGGUUCAACUGUGGUCUGCAUGAAUAAGGACUUCCUUUUAUGUGUCCUGGGACAUGGGUGGCGCUGUGGUCUACACCACUGAGCCUAGGGCUUGCAGAUCAGAAGGUUGGCGGUUCGAAUCCCCGCGACGGGGUGAGCUCCUGUUGCUCGGUCCCUGCUCCUGCCAACUUAGCAGUUCGAAAGCACGAAGUGCAAGUAGAUAAAUAGGUACUGCUCUCGCGGGAAGGUAAACGGCGUUUUCGUGAGCUGCUCUGGUUCGCCAGAAGCGGCUUAGUCAUGCUGGCCACAUGACCCAGAAGCUGUCUGCAGACAAACACCGGCUCCCUUGGCCUAUAGAGCGAGAUAAGCGUGCAACCCCAGAGUCAUCUGCGACUGGACCUAAUGGUCAGGGGUCCCUUUACCUUUAUGUGUCCUGAACCCUGCAACAUUCAGCUUCAUUGGAUGCCCAUGAGGUCUAGUGCAGGGGUCCCCAAACUAAGGCCUGCGGACUGGAUAAAGCCCGAGGGACUCAUUUAUCCAGCCCGCGGUGCCCCCGCCCGCUGCCGCCACCUGCUCUCACUGGUGCUGCGCCGCACGGCUGCCCACUUCCAGGUCAGAGGAGCAUCAGAAAUAGCUUGUGCGCAUGUGCAAGCAUUGUUUCCGGUGCAAAUCUGGGUCGGAGGAGGCCCAUGCACAUGCGCACAAGCUAUUUCCGUUGCUCCUCUGACCCGGAAGUGUGCCAGAAAUAGCAUGUCCACAUACAUAUGGGCACUUGCUCCCCCGCCCUCCGGUUCACCGCGCGAUCGGCGCUGGAGACACCGGCCCAAGACGCAGUAAGUAUGCUGACCCCUGGUCUAGUGUUGCAGAAGAGAGGAAGAGGAGCUUUUCCCCAUUCGCUUUCUCCGUGCAUAAUUUCACACGCAACAAUAUAAGAAGAGCCCUGCUGGGUGACACCAGCAUUCUGCUCACACCAUCAGCAAUCCAGGUGCCUCUGGGAAGCCCAGGGUGGGAGCAGAGUGGCCACUCACUCUCAUUCCUCACUAGAAGGUCUGUGAGGGUCUUGUCUGAAGUGCUGCCUGCACCCAAAUGUACCUCCCUGAGUCUUGAGUUCUGCUUCAGGGGCCCUGAAUUUUGGGUCACCAGUGAAAGGUGUUAGGCUGGUGAGUACCCAUUGUUCAGGUCCUUUUCAGUGGUGACCUCUCACCUCUGAUCCACCUGUCCUAGGGAAAUAUGUCUGGCCCUAUCAUUGCUGGUCUUCAGAGGACCUAGAAAGCUGUUUUUAUACCCAACUCAGCAGUAUAUCUUCAAGCAGUGCACAAAUGGAAAUGGAGGCUUCAGCAGGAGACAAUGUUGGCCACCAACUUGGUUGGCGUUAAAAGAGAAUUGGACAAAUUCAUGGAGGAGGAGGAGGAGGAGGAGGAGGAGGAGGAAGAGGAGGAGAGGGCUAUCAAUGGCAUGUGACGUCCAUGCUCUGCAAUGUUUCUGAAAACCAUAGGAGGGAAGAGCGCUUUUGUGCUCAAAUCCCGCUUGCAGGUUUCCCAUUGAGGAAGCGAUUCUCAAACUUUUUUUCUCUGGGCCACACUUUCAGAAUAAAAAUUUGCUCGUGCUACAUUGAAUUUUUUUAUUGAUAACAUACAUGGUGGAAAACAAAAAGAAACAACUCCUAGCUGUGCUUCAUUUUGAGAAGAUAUUUAUCCAUAUUAAGCAAAUGAUAAAAUUUAUUUUGAUACGAUACAAUACUAUACUACACUGAGGUGUUUAAAUGUUUCUUUGGUUGUCCUUGAAUCUUCCUGCCACACUUGCCAUCUUCUCCUGACACAUCAGUGUGGCAGGUCUCACAUCCUUUGAGAGCCACUGCAAAGAGGCAUCUGGCUGGCCCUGUGAGAGCACAAGGCUGGGCUAGAUGGGCCUUGAUCCAGCAGCCAGGCUCUUCUUAUCCUCUUACACUCCUUAAUGUUGAUGUUAAAAAUGAAUUAAAAAAUGCUGCUUAUAAAAUUAGUGGAGGGGGUUAUAAACAACAACAACAUGCUUAUGUUGCAUGUGUUAAACCUUUGCAAACCUCACUGGGAGGACAGUCUGCCCUGGAAGAUGGGUUUGAACUAUUUUAAAUAUGGAACUGUAUCUAUCAAUGCCAGCUGAAAAUGGCCAAAGGCUUUGUCUUAAGGUGAAAACCUUCAAGCAGAUGGGCGGGGUAUAAAUAAAUUGUUGUUGUUGUUGUUGUUGUUGUUGUUCUUCUUCUUCUUCUUCUUCUUCUUCUUCUUCCUCUUCCUCUUCCUCUUCCUCUUCCUCUUCCUCUUCCUCUUCCUCUUCCUCUUCUUCUUCCAGCCAGCCCAGUUGGGAGUUGUAAUCCAAAACAUCUGGAGGGCACCAUGUUGUGUUAAAUUGGUCUGGAUUGACCUUAACCUGAUCUGAAAAGGCCUUUCUUACACUUGCCUGUUGAUAAGCGCCUGCUUCCUUCUGUUCCUCAGUUGUUUUGGCUCACCCAUGAAAGGACUCGUGUUCUCUCCUUUCUGACCUGCCUCAAAUAUUUCUUAAAACAAACGAAAAGUUGACUUCACAGCUCCGUGCUAAACAUUUUAUACACUUAAUCUGUAAGUCAGCCCCACAUGCACCCGUCCCAACAGCUCGCCAUGAUCUGCGAAGUUCCACAGAUCUUGUUUAUAACACGUUCGUCUAAAAUUAUCUCCAGGCACACGGCAUCCUCCUAUAGAACAGAUGCUCUGAAGUCUCUCCCCCCCCCCAGUUCUGUUUUGAUCUCAAAUCGGCGUGUUUAAGCUGCUUGUGUGAACUAUAAAUUGAAAUGGAGAUGGAGGGGAAGGGAAGGGAAAUGUUGUGAUGUGCGCCAUGUCGCUCUGUCGGCUUCCUUCAGAUGUUGCUUCUUGAUGAAGGGAGACUGGCGCCAUCUGCACUCAUUGCCCAGGGGUACAUUAUCAUUGCCUGUGUUUGUUGAGAAAGGGUUUGGGGAGAGCAAGAAGGGGGUAGGCCCCUAGGGAGCUCUUUAGAGCUGCUGGUGGAAGACGGAGUAGAUGGGUCUCGGAGCAAAUUAGAGUCCCCAACACAAUGCACACCCACCCACACAUCAUAGAACCACAGAAUCGAUGCAGGAAUCACAGCUUAAGAAUCCCUUACAGAGGACCAACCUCCAAGGAAGGGAAGUCCAUCACCUUCUGUGGGAGUCUGUUCCACUACUGGACAGCUCUUACCGCCAGAAACUUCUUCCUAAGGUUUAGGGCCUUGCUUGCAAUUUGAAUCCAUUGGUUCAGGUCCUGCUCUCUGGGGCAGAAGAAAACAAGCUUGCUCUAUCUUCCAUGGAACGACCCUUCAGGUGUUAGAAGAUGGCUGAUGUAUCUUCUCCAGUUUUCUAUUCUCCAGGCUAAACAUGUUCAGCUCCCUCAACUGUUCCUCUUGAAGCUUAGUUUGCAAUGGAGUGGUGAGGGUUCUUCAUGUAGAGAACCACUUCCCUCCAGGAGGAAAAACAAACUAUAAACUUUGCAGAUGAAUGGACUAAAACAGGGGUCAGAAAACUUUUUUGGGAGGGGGCCGGUUCACUGUCCCCCAGUCCUUUUUGCAGGCCGGACUGCACACGUGCGCAUGUGUGUGUACACACACACAACGGAGGGGGCUUCUCUCUCCCCCACCUCUCUCAGCCCUCCCCUCCCCCUGCCUACCUUCUCCGCCCCUCUGCCUGCGGUUGGGAGCCGGCGGUGGUGGCAGCGCCACUCCUUUCUGUGCCAGCUUUCCCCAGUGGGCAGCGUGGCUUCCUAUUAAAGCCCAACCCCCUUCCUCCAUAGGGCAGGGAGAAGCCAGGAAGAGGGAGGGAGGAGGGAGAAGGGAGGCACCGGUGCCGCGGUGUGUGUGUGUGGUGGUGGUGGGGGAAUCACAGGGGGAAAUGGUGCCCAAUUUUUUUUUUUUUAAAAAAUGGUGAUUGUGCCAAUCCAGGUGGCGACUCCAGAACUGUCCAUGGGCUGGAUCCAGAGGGCAAUUGGACCUGAUCCGGCCCACAGGCCUUAGUUUGCCGACCCCUGGACUAAAAUGUGUUUCACCAUAUAAAAUGCGAAGUCUGACAACACUGGAGAUGUUGAUGGUUAGUGAGCGUUCUUGAAUCCCAUCCCAGCUCAACUCACACUUGUGUCUUUCCUUUAGCUGAAGCCCUAGAGGCCUUGCUCAAAGGACAGCAGGAGUUUUUGACUCUUGCAUCGUUUGGCGUUGGUGAAGAGACAAUGACAAUCCUUCUGUGAACCAUUCAGUGGAACUGCCUUUCUGUCGCCUCCCAGCUCCCGCCCUCGCAGUGGGUGAUGUUGAGUCCCUGAACUGGUGCUGCAAGGUGCAGGCAGACAUCACGAAACAAGCCAACAAUCCUGUAGGCUGCUCUGCUUCCGGCUUUCCCCAGAGUGGGACCAUCCCUUGGGGGCAGGAGAACUGUGCCUCCUCCUUUCCGCUGGCUCUUGUUUAAUUAGCACCUGGCUGAGGCUGCCACGGCGUGUCACGUGGUCCCUUUGCCGCCCCUCCCCCUCCCUCGCUUUAUUAUUUCCUACUUUGGUUUGAUGUCGUUGGUAUAUAAAACGUUAAGAGCUCUACAUUUCUUCUUUUAAAGGCCCUAAAGGGAGCCUUGCUUUUUUCGUGUUAAAGUCAUUACGGCAAACACCUGUGCACUGUUGGGUUUAAUUGGGCUACAGCUGCCGGGGAAGGGACGGGGGAUUUGCCACAUUGAUCGAGCUGUCUGUCUCAGCUUCGCCAACACACUCGCACCUCUUUGGCCACGGAGGACGAACUGGAGGGGAAUCCACAACCCGCCACGUGUGGGCACCUGCCACCAGAAAGCAGGACGAGUGAAGCCCUGACCGUCAGCUGCGCCAGGCAGAUGCUAGCUGGCCAAGGAGGUCCAGGCUGCCAUUGCGGGUGGCCGGACAGCCUAGGAGAGGGAGGUGCAAAGCUCAGGGAGGUUUUUAAGGGAGUGACUGAGGGGGCUAUUGGGGGCAGAGACUUGGGCUGCGGUGCCAAGCAGGAGGGAGACGAAGGCAGAGGCUUCUAUGCCCAGGCAAAGCAAGAGAGUGAGCCUGGCUGACAGCGCAGAUCAUAAAGGGAGAAGGGCCCUUUUGCAUUACACCAAGGGGAGCCCAUCUUGCUCACCAUUCUGUUCUCACAGCGGCAAGCCAGAAGCCUGUAGGAAGCCGCAAAGCGCAACCUGAGUGCAAGAGUAUAAGAGCAUAAGGCAUAAGGAUCAGGCCAAUAGCCCGGCGUCCUGUUCUCACAGCCAAAUGCCCUUCUGGGAAGCCUGCAAGCUGGACACGAGAACAGCAGCACUCUGCCCACCUGAGAUUCCCAGCAAGGAUACCUCUGACAGCGGAUGCAGAAUAUAGCCGUGCUGCCUAGUAGCCAUUGAUAGCCCUUGUCUUUCAUGAAUUUGCCCAGUCCUCUUUUUUAUUUUUUAUUUUUAUUUUUUCAAUGAUAUUUAUUAAAUUUCAUACAAAGACUUAACAUAACAAAGAAAGAAAAAGCAAUAAUACAAAAUAAGAAAAAAAGAAAAUGAAGAAAUUAAAGUAUUACAAACCCCACAUAUACCACCACAUACAUAAAUAAGACUUAAUUAAGUGAUUAAACUCCAACUUCAUAAACAUAUUACUUGACUUCCUCUAAUCUCUUCCAACUGAAUUUCCUUGUAAUUGAAUUUAGCAGUUUCCAAUAUCAUUAUUCCAUAUAACAAUAUUCCAGUUAUAAUCAAAUGUCCUAACUUUUCUUAUCCUACUAUUUCUUAUUUAUUUAUUUGAUCCUGAUUUAAUCCUAGGCCUGAUUAGUUCUUUCAAGUAAUUACAAAUCUUUAAUAUUACAAUAUUUAUUCAAAUAGUCUUUAAAUUUCUUCCAGUCUUCUUGAUAUUCCUCUUCUUUCUGGUCGUGGAUUCUCCCGGUGAGAUCAGCUAGCUCCAUAAAGUCCAUCAUCUUCAUCUGCCAUUCUUCUACCGUUGCUAAUCCUCUUUUUUUAAGCCAACAAAGUUGGUGACCAUUGCUGCCUCCUGUGGGAGGGAGAUCCACAGUUUAACGGUGCGUUACUUGUAACUAUGCUCUGAAUCCCAUAGCUCUGAAUCCCAUGCUGUGUGAAGAAGUUUGUCUUGAACGCCACAACAUUCGCCUUCACCAAACGACUCCAAGUUCUCUUUUCAUGAGACAAGGAGAAAACCCACCAUUUGCUUUCUCCACAUCAUGCAAAAUUUCAUACAACUCACUCAUGUCUCCCCUUCUUCCCAAAUUGAAAAGCUCCGUAUAUUUAAACUUUUCCUAGUAGUGGGAGGGGGAGGAUUAUUCCAAUUCCUUCAUCAUUUUUGUGGUUCUUUUUGCAGCCAAAAUAAUAACAGCAGCAACAGAUCAGCAGGUUAUCAAUCGUAAUUAGUUACUUACUGCUUGGCCUCACCUUUGCCUGCCUUCAUCCCCAGGUGCUCACGUUGCUGUUACCUAUUGUUGACCUCUGCCGGUCUAGCCAGAAUGGCCCAGAUGGCGCCUGGAGUUCAAAUGCACCAAAAGAAACUGCACUGCACACUGAAUCCCUUUGGGAGGAGAACUCUUCGCCCUGGGACAGAAUCACACCAAGACUCUGAGUUCAGGAAAACAAGGAGGCAACGUUGACUGCAGGAAGCACAUGCUCCACAGGUCAGAUGUUAGUCAGGGGGGCUGAGGCAGUGGAACCCCCAGAGGCAGCACUCCUGUCGGGUGUCAGUCCCUGGCGAAGAAGUGGUGGUGGUAGCAGCUUCUGGAGACACCUCAGGAAAUCUUGCUGAUAUCUCAUGAGAUCUGGCCGGAACUCACUGUUGACAUUGCCUUUCAUGGGCACCACCAGGCAGCCCAGGUAAGGAAGGCUUCAGCAAGGGUAGGGCAGGGGGGCAAUAUUGGAAGGGUGGGGAUGCGCCGCCCCUCCCUAUGUGCCUUGGGAAUCCACAACCUUGCCACCAAAUCCGUUUACAAUCUCUAAAUGGGACCUCUAAGUUGAGAGCUCCAAACUGCCUCUCCCUCCCUUUUGAAAUAAGAUGAAACAAGUGAGACUUCAACAAAACGUUGCAGGUCUCCACUUUGUUUGUUUAUUAUUUCAGUUCUGCUUGAGGUUCCAGGGCGGAGAACAUAGAUAUGUUAAAAUGGGGCUUGCCAAUGCGCUCCCCACAGAGGCCUUUCUUGGCACCAGCAGGGGUUUCCUGCAAAGCAUGAAGAGCAAGAGGACAUGACUGCAGAUGCUCACGUAUGUGAAGAGCCACCUGUGGUGCCCUCAGUGGCAAACCCUGGUUUUGCCAGGUGCAUAAGGUGCAAAAAGGCUCACCAAUAAUCCAUUUCUCUGCAGCAUUUAGCGCUGCAUUCUCUUUUGGGUCUCAUUUGUUUCAUUUCCCAAUAUGAUCACAUCAUAUGUGCAUUUAACUUGCACAGUUUCAACCUGCACACUUGCAGGUGGUCUGGCUGAAGUUGCACAAGUCCAAGCACAGAGCAGAAAGUUCUUUUUAAAAGACCUUGGAGUUACCCAGUGUGGAAAGGCCUUUAAAGAUAUCUGUCUUCCUUACAGGGCAAGACCCACUCACUGUAUGGGCUCUGGGGUGAUCUUGUGGGGCCACCUGAGAUCUUGCAUGAACAUUCCCAGCUUUCCAGCACCAGAGCAGACCUUGUCCCCUAAGCAAGGCAGAGAUCUCAAAAGCUCUUUUAUCCUGAGUCUGCUUGGGUUAUCCAGUGCAAAAAGAGCUUUUAAGCUCCCCUCCUUCAGGCCUAUUCAGUACAGAGGCUCUGGGGAUAAAGGGAUUCUUCCUCUGUCCCCCUCACCCUCUAGCCACAGGGUGACUCCAGGGGUUUUGGCACACACCACUGGUUCCCAAUUACCUAAUUACUGAGGACCCCUUAUUUUUCAAACACCAAGCCAUGGACCCCCCCCCACCUUUGCAAAAUGGUGAUAACUCUAUGGUAGUUAUCUCUGCAAAGCAAUUUCAUGAACAAAAUGUGAGGUAGCCCCUGAUGAACAAAGGAUUUCAGGUAUACUAAAAAACAGACUAGGGCUGAGCAAUAUCUGGUUUUCAACAUCAUGAUAUAUCAGCAGCUGAACACCAUGAUAUUCUGAUAUAUAUAUUUAUUCUGUGAACCACCCUGUGACCCCCGGGUAUAGGGCAGUAUUAUAAUAAUAAUAAUAAUAAUAAUAAUAAUAAUAAUAAUACCACGAUGUCUCAAACUGGAGAUCAGGCGUGGGGAUGAGGGAAGGAACAGCCAGGGGAUUGGAUGGGAAGCAGGAGGAAGUGAGGGGGAGGGGAGGGGGAGGGGGAGGGAAGGGGGAGGGGAGGGGGGGCAUCAGCAGAGCAGCCCACAAAGAUGCACAUCCACUGUGGCUGCUGUUGCUGCUUUCCUGCUGACUGAGAAAAGCUGCUCUGCUUCCUUGCCAGGGGAAGGCAGGGCUACAGGGCCUUGAAGGGAGGACAGUCAGCUGCCCGGUCCCCCUCAGCAUGAGGGAAGGCAGCGCCUCACAAUGGGCUGCCCUGGUCUCCCUCAGCGUGAGGGAAGGCAGCUCAGAUCAGUAGCAUUAUUGGUUGAGAUCAUCAUGUCACGCUGCCUUGAAAUCAGCCUGCUCUCCCUCGAGGGAGGAGUGAGAUAUUGCUGCAUAUUGCUGGGUUAAAAUUGUUAUCGCAGUGUGAUUUCAAACCGAUUUUGCCCAAAAUGAUGAUGAUGAUGAUGAUGAUGAUAAUAAUAAUAAUAAUAUUUAUACCCCACCCAUCUUGUUGGGUUUCCCCAGCCACUCUGGGUUUCUUUCAACAGAACAUUAAAAACAGAAACAUUAAAAACAUUAAAAACUUCCCUAAACAGGACUGCCUUCAGAUGUCUUCUAAAAGUCAGAUAGUUGUUUAUUUCCUUGACAUCUGAUGAGAGGGUGUUCCACAGGGCGGGUGCCACUACCGAGAAGGCCAUCUGCCUGGUUCCCUGUAACCUUACUGUAACCUCUCGCAGUAAGGGAGCUGCCAGAGGGGCCUCAGAGCUGGACCACAGUAUCUGGGCGGUGGAGACACUUCUUCAGGUAUACUGGGCCAAGGUCAUUUAGGGCUUUAAAGGUCAGAACCAACACUUUGAAUUGUGCUUGGGAAUGUACUGGGACCUGAUCUAGGUCCUUCAGGACCGCUGUUAUGUGGUCUCGGCAGCCACUCCCAGUCACCAGUCUAGCUGCCGCAUUCUGGAUUAGUUGUAGUUUCCAGGUCACCUUCAAAGGUAGCCCCACACAGAGCGCACUGCAGUAGUCCAAGCGGGAGAUAACCAGAGCAUGCACCACUCUGGUGAGACAGUGGGCAGGCAGAUAGGGUCUCAGCCUGUGUACCAGAUGGAGCUGGUAGACAGCUGCCCCGGACACAGAAUUGACCUGCGCCUCCAUGGACAGCUGUGAGUCCAAAAUUAUACCCAGGUUGUGCAGCUGGUUCUUCAGGGUCACAGUUACCCCAUUCAGGACCAGGGAGCCCUCCACACCCGCCUGCCCCCUGUCCCCCCAAAACUGAACUCCUGUCUUGUCAGAAUUCAACCUCAAUCUGUUAACCACCAUACGUGCUCCAGCCGCUUCCAGCCACUCACACAGGACAUUCACCACCUUCACUGGUUCUGAUUUAAAAGAGAGGUAGAGCUGGGUAUCAUCUGCAUACUGAUGAACACCCAGCCCCAACCUCCUGAUGAUCUCUCCCAGAGGCUUCAUGUAGAACAUGGGGGACAAGCAUGGGGGAGAAGACGGAACCCUGAGGUACCCACAAGUGAGAGCCCAGGGGUCUCAUCCCCCCCACACCUUCUGGACACGGCGCAGGAGGAAGGAGUGGAACCACUGCAUAACACUGCCCCCAGCUCUCUAGCCGGUACAGAAGGAUGUUGUGGUCGAUGGUAUCAAAGGCCACUGAGAGAUCCAGCAGAACUAGGAAACAGCUCUCACCUUUGUCCCCAGCCUGCCGGAGAUCAUUGACCAGUGCGACCAAGGCAGUUUCAGUCCCAUGAUAAGGCCAGAAUCCCAAUUGGAAGGGAUCCAAAUGGUCCCAGCAUGCUUGGAGUUGUUCAGCAACCACCUGCUCAAUCACCUUGCCCAAGAAUGGAAGAAUUGAGACUGGGCGAUAGUUGGCCAUAUUGGCUGUUUGGAAACCAUCUGGAUCUCUCUGGAAGCCAUUUGGAUCCAUUAAGUGGCAGGAGCGGACCAUCUGAAUCGGCUCCACCUCCCUGAAGAGGGGAAGGGUCAUGGAGAAGUCCAGAUGCACCAGGAAGUGAUCUGACCAUGUCACUUCUUUUGUUUCACUUUUACUUAGUGUCAGAUCACCAACAUCCAUAGAGGUGAACUCCAGGUCUAAGGCAUGUCCACAAUUAUGAGUUGGGCCAAACUUAUUCAGGGACAGUCCCAUGAAGACCAUGCUUUCCAUGAAGUCCUGAGCAGCCCCUUGUAAGGUCAUGUUGGCAUGAAUGUUAACAUCCCCUAGGACAACCAAACUAGGUGUCUCCAGGAGAACAUCUGCCACGACCUGAAGCAGCUCAGGUAGGGAAUUCUUGGUGCAGUGGCAAGGUUGGUACACCAAAAGGAAUCCUGUACUGCCCCUAUUGCCCAACUUCUAGAACAUGCACUCAGAAAACUGGGUCUUCUCAACAAGACGCCUGGUGCAAACUAAUGACUUCCUAAAAAUCAGUGCAAAACUCCUCCCCGCCCACAUGACCUGGGUUGCUGUGUGUAAGAGAAACCUGGUGGACAAGCAGCGGCAAGGACAGGCCCAUCUGCUUCAUCCAACCAAGUCUCUGUUACACAGGCCAGGUCAAGUCCUCCAUCAACAUAUUGAAAAACCACACAACACUAAAACAGACCAUAAAAUUUGUGUAAUUACCAUGCAAAAAUGACCAAAAAAAGUAGUUGGGGGAAGGCAAAGGAUGGGGCCGCGGACACCCAGGGGUCCCUGGACCCCUAACUUGGAACCACUGGCGUACAUGACUUUUGUGUACCGUAUUUUUCGCACCAUAGGACGCACCGGCCCAUAGGACGCAUCAAUUUUGGGGGGGGGGGGGGGAUAAAGGAAAAAAAAUUAUUUCCCCCCCAGGCGCUUGUGGGGCCGGCAGCGGGGAGAAGCACUCUUCUCCCCGCAGUCCGCCUUCAGAUCAGGUCAGGGGACAGCGGGAAGACGCGCUGCGUCUCCCUGCUGUCCCCGGAGCUUGGGGGCAGGCAGCGGGGAGAAGCGCUCUUCUCCCCGCCGCCCGCCUUGAUAUCAAGUCCGGGGACAGCGGGAAGACGCGCUGCGUCUCCCUGCUGUCCCCGGAGCUUGGGGGCAGGCAGCGGGGAGAAGCGCUCUUCUCCCCGCCGCCCGCCAUGAUAUCAAGUCUGGGGACAGCGGGAAGACGCGCUGCGUCUCCCAGCUGUCCCCGGAGCUUGGGGGCAGGCAGCGGGGAGAAGCGCUCUUCUCCCCGCCGCCCGCCUUGAUAUCAAGUCCGGGGACAGCGGGAAGACGCGCUGCGUCUCCCUGCUGUCCCCGGAGCUUGGGGGCAGGCAGCGGGAGAAGCGCUCUUCUCCCCGCAGUCCACCUUCAGAUCAGGUCCGGGGACAGCAGGAAGACGCGCUGCGUCUCCCAGCUGUCCCCGGAGCUUGCGGGGCCGGCGGCGGGGUCUCCCCGCCGUCAGCCUCCAAACCACUUCGGGAGACAGCGGGAUGGCGGCAUUCCGCCUCCGUCUGUCCCCCGACCUUGUGGGGCUGGCGCUGGGGCUCUCCUGAAGCCUGGAGAGCGAGAGGGUCGGUGCGCACCGACCCCUCUCGCUCUCCAGGCUUCAGUGAAAGCCUGCAUUCGCACCAUAGGACGCACACACAUUUCCCCUUCAUUUUUGGAGGGGAAAAAGUGCGUCCUAUAGUGCGAAAAAUACGGUAUACAUGGAACCCUUGGAACAGAACCAUCACAUAAGAUGCAACCAUCCUGUGUUUUAAAAAGGAGGGAGAGAUGCUUGCUCAGCUGUCAUGUGUCUGAUUUAGGGGCUGUAAAGGGGUAUUUUGCAGGAGAGAUAAUAGAAUCAUAGAAGGCAAGUGCAUACUGUGGAAAUCAGGUUUCCACACUUAAAGUGGGUUGAAGGUGCUGCUAUACCUUUACUUGGUGUAGUUAUAGGGGAGCCUCUGGCCCUCCAGAUUUUGCCAAAUGACAACUCCCAUCAGGGCCAGAAAAUAUGGUGAUGCUUUUUCAGCAACAUCUGGAGGGUCAGAGGUCUCCCACACCUUCCCCAGUGCAACACACCCAUUUUAAAAUAAGAAAUGUGAGAGUUGUUGUUGUUGUUACUACUACUAUUAUUAUUAUUUCAACAACACCAUAAGGAUAAAUUAUGAAAUAUCCCACCCUAAUCCAGAAGCUUGUGCUUAAACAAUACAUGCAAAAUAACAACCAAUUAAUAUAAGUUAUUAUCCUGGACUACUAUUUGUAUAGAAGGUGAUAGGGAAGUUUUUAAUGUGUGACAUUUUGAUGUAUUUUUAAUCCUUGUUGGAAGCCGCCCAGAGUGGCUGGGGGAACCCAGCCAGAUGGGCAGGGUACAAAUAAUAAAUCAUUACUGUUGUUGUUGUUGUUAACAAUUUAAAGUUAAACGAAAAGUUGUAUAAUGUGAGGGGAGUCCUGUAUGUAUUUGUGUAUGUAUUUCAAAUUAUUCCUUUUAAUUGUUGUUAAAUUAUUUCAUGGUUCUUUUUACAGUUAGGAAAGUGACAGAGAAAUGCGUUGAAUGUGGGUGAUGAAUGAUUAAUAGGAAGACGCGUCAACAUCCCACAGGCAAACCAGGAUGAAAGCUCACCGUCGUAUAACUUCCCCACAAACAAAUCAAAGCAAAUGCUCAACAAAGACCAGCUAUAGUCUAACCUCCGUGUGAGCUUUGUGUGAGCAAAUCAGGUUGAGUGCCUAGUAAAUAGGUUGUCUGUGGAGCAGCCCUCGUUUGCUUAAACAGAAACCCUUUAAAAUCUGGGCAGCGUUUUUAAUGCCAGGC
rnacentral:lncRNA from 1 species